rnacentral:rRNA from 1 species
UGAGCAACCUGCCCUUGACUCCGGAAUAACAGCUGGAAACAGCUGCUAAUACCGGAUACGACCUCCGAUGGCAUCAUCUGGAGGUGGAAAGCUCCGACGGUCAAGGAUGGGCUCGCGGCCUAUCAGCUUGUUGGUGAGGUAACGGCUCACCAAGGCGACGACGGGUAGCCGGCCUGAGAGGGCGACCGGCCACACUGGGACUGAGAUACGGCCCAGACUCCGUAGGGAGG